UCCGUAGGUGAACCUGUAAGUGAUACUAUCUCCCGCUUAUGUCAUCUCUUCUUCAUACUAACAUACUCUCUAGGCGGAGGGAUCAUUA
rnacentral:rRNA from 1 species